rnacentral:snoRNA from 1 species
CUUCGCGCAUAGACUACACAUUUUGAUCUUUUUUGUUGGGGUAUGAUACUUUAAUCUUUUGUUGUUAUAGUAAUGGUGACUAGAGCGUGAUUAACAGCCUUCCAUAGCUCCUCGAGCUGUGGAUGCAGUAGAUGAUCGUUCUUAGACCUGAGAUCUCGGGUCUAAGAUGGUCUCAUGGCUGUCUGACAGACU